rnacentral:rRNA from 1 species
GUAGGUGGCAAGCGUUGUCCGGAAUUAUUGGGCGUAAAGCGCGCGCAGGUGGGUUCUUUAAGUCUGAUGUGAAAGACCCCCGGGCUCAACCCGGGGAGGGUCAUUGGAAACUGGGGAACUUGAGUGCAGGAGAGGAAAGUGGAAUUCCACGUGUAGCGGUGAAAUGCGUAGAUAUGUGGAGGAACACCAGUGGCGAAGGCGACUUUCUGGCCUGUAACUGACACUGAGGCGCGAAAGCGUGGGGAGCAAACAGGAUUAGAUACCCUGGUAGUCCACGCCGUAAACGAUGAGUGCUAAGUGUUGGGGGGUUUCCGCCCCUCAGUGCUGCAGCUAACGCAUUAAGCACUCCGCCUGGGGAGUACGGUCGCAAAGACUG